UACGGAGGGUGCAAGCGUUAAUCGGAAUUACUGGGCGUAAAGCGUGCGCAGGCGGUUUGUUAAGUCCGUUGUGAAAGCCCCGAGCUCAACUUGGGAAUUGCAGUGGAUACUGGCAGGCUGGAGUACGGUAGAGGAAGGUGGAAUUCCCGGUGUAGCAGUGAAAUGCGUAGAGAUCGGGAGGAACACCAGUGGCGAAGGCGGCCUUCUGGACCAGUACUGACACUGAGGCGCGACAGCGUGGGGAGCAAACAGG
rnacentral:rRNA from 1 species